UGUGAAUGUCCCCAUAAAUCCAAUGUAUUUUUUGCACCAUAACCAUUCCUCUUGUUAUUCUGUUCUUAUACUGUUCUCGUUUGUUCUUAACUGUGUGUUAUGGAGUGUUUUGUCAAACGUAUUUGUUUUUGGGCUCACAAAGGGCUUCAGAAAAAUCAUAACAUUGUAUUUUAAUACAACUUUUUUGUAUUCAAUUAUUUGCAGGCAAGGUAGUGUUAUAGCUGAUUUAACCAUGAGUCAUGGUGACAUCGACUGGGCUCAGAUAAAAGCACAAAAUGCAGAUCUGAAACUCCAACUCCAAAAAGCAGGUCUUGAUGUUGCUGAAAACUUUCUUUCUGAAAGUGUUGAAAGAGAACUUCUCGAAACGGAAGACCCCCACGCUGGAGAUGCUGCUAUGGUAUUAAAAUGCCCUGAAUCAAGUGACACAGUUGUUGAACCAGAAUGGAGGUUCAAAGGAAAAACACUCACUAACUCAAACAAAUAUCAGAUUUCAUCUAAGACUCUCACCGUCACAGGAGUUGCCCUUAGUGACCAGGGUCUUUACGGGUGCAGAUAUGACAGAACCUCAGCACCAACUCUCUUUUAUUGGAACACUGUAACUAUCAAACAAAACCCUGAGAUUCAAC